UACGAAGGGGGCUAGCGUUGCUCGGAAUUACUGGGCGUAAAGGGCGCGUAGGCGGAUGUUUAAGUUGGGGGUGAAAGCCCGGGGCUCAACCUCGGAAUAGCCUUCAAUACUGGACAUCUUGAGUACGGGAGAGGUGAGUGGAACUCCGAGUGUAGAGGUGAAAUUCGUAGAUAUUCGGAAGAACACCAGUGGCGAAGGCGACUCACUGGCCCGUUACUGACGCUGAGGCGCGAAAGCGUGGGGAGCAAACAGG
rnacentral:rRNA from 1 species